CCCCUGUGAACAUACCUAUACGUUGCCUCGGCGGAUCAGCCCGCGCCCCGUAAAACGGGACGGCCCGCCCGAGGACCCCUAAACUCUGUUUUUAGUGGAACUUCUGAGUAAAACAAACAAAUAAAUCAAAACUUUCAACAACGGAUCUCUUGGUUCUGGCAUCGAUGAAGAACGCAGCAAAAUGCGAUAAGUAAUGUGAAUUGCAGAAUUCAGUGAAUCAUCGAAUCUUUGAACGCACAUUGCGCCCGCCAGUAUUCUGGCGGGCAUGCCUGUUCGAGCGUCAUUUCAACCCUCAAGCUCAGCUUGGUGUUGGGACUCGCGGUAACCCGCGUUCCCCAAAUCGAUUGGCGGUCACGUCGAGCUUCCAUAGCGUAGUAAUCAUACACCUCGUUACUGGUAAUCGUCGCGGCCACGCCGUAAAACCCCAACUUCUGAAUGUUGACCUCGGAUCAGGUAGGAAUACCCGCUGAACUUAAGCAUAUCAA
rnacentral:sRNA from 1 species